CACAAACACAACAUGGCCUAUAACUCUAGGAUAAAAAGCUAUAAAAAUUUACUUUUUUUUUUUUUUUUUUUUUUUUUUUUU
rnacentral:ribozyme from 1 species